GGGCGUGGUCCAAGCAGUAUAAAAGCAGAAGCUGCAAACUUUCUUAAAAGGUGUCAGUUUCCAUGGGACGCCAGGACGUAUCUGGGUUCCACAGGUUGUAGAUUUGUCAAGAAUGUGGGAGGCCCUGCGGGUUUUUUAGACCAGGCUGUGUAUACAGGCAGAUGAGGGUGGUGUACGCGAUACAGAGAUGUUUUUUGUUGCUCCUGCUGUCCUUAGGUUUAUGUUGUGUUUCUUUUAGUUAGUCCGACCCUGUUUGAU